rnacentral:rRNA from 1 species
UUCCUACGGGAGGCAGCAGUGGGGAAUUUUGGACAAUGGGGGAAACCCUGAUCCAGCCAUCCCGCGUGUGCGAUGAAGGCCUUCGGGUUGUAAAGCACUUUUGGCAGGAAAGAAACGUCGCUGGCUAAUACCUCGCGAAACUGACGUACCGCAGAAAGCCGGUUCCCC